rnacentral:miRNA from 1 species
CCACGCCGGUGCGCUUGCCCUC